rnacentral:rRNA from 1 species
UUAAGCGACUAAGCGUACACGGUGGAUGCCCUGGCAGUCAGAGGCGAUGAAGGACGUGCUAAUCUGCGAUAAGCGUCGGUAAGGUGAUAUGAACCGUUAUAACCGGCGAUUUCCGAAUGGGGAAACCCAGUGUGAUUCGUCACACUAUCAUUAACUGAAUCCAUAGGUUAAUGAGGCGAACCGGGGGAACUGAAACAUCUAAGUACCCCGAGGAAAAGAAAUCAACCGAGAUUCCCCCAGUAGCGGCGAGCGAACGGGGAGGAGCCCAGAGCCUGAAUCAGUGUGUGUGUUAGUGGAAGCGUCUGGAAAGGCGCGCGAUACAGGGUGACAGCCCCGUACACAAAAAUGCACAUAUUGUGAGCUCGAUGAGUAGGGCGGGACACGUGGUAUCCUGUCUGAAUAUGGGGGGACCAUCCUCCAAGGCUAAAUACUCCUGACUGACCGAUAGUGAACCAGUACCGUGAGGGAAAGGCGAAAAGAACCCCGGCGAGGGGAGUGAAAAAGAACCUGAAACCGUGUACGUACAAGCAGUGGGAGCCUCUUUUAUGGGGUGACUGCGUACCUUUUGUAUAAUGGGUCAGCGACUUAUAUUCUGUAGCAAGGUUAACCGAAUAGGGGAGCCGAAGGGAAACCGAGUCUUAACUGGGCGUUAAGUUGCAGGGUAUAGACCCGAAACCCGGUGAUCUAGCCAUGGGCAGGUUGAAGGUUGGGUAACACUAACUGGAGGACCGAACCGACUAAUGUUGAAAAAUUAGCGGAUGACUUGUGGCUGGGGGUGAAAGGCCAAUCAAACCGGGAGAUAGCUGGUUCUCCCCGAAAGCUAUUUAGGUAGCGCCUCGUGAAUUCAUCUCCGGGGGUAGAGCACUGUUUCGGCAAGGGGGUCAUCCCGACUUACCAACCCGAUGCAAACUGCGAAUACCGGAGAAUGUUAUCACGGGAGACACACGGCGGGUGCUAACGUCCGUCGUGAAGAGGGAAACAACCCAGACCGCCAGCUAAGGUCCCAAAGUCAUGGUUAAGUGGGAAACGAUGUGGGAAGGCCCAGACAGCCAGGAUGUUGGCUUAGAAGCAGCCAUCAUUUAAAGAAAGCGUAAUAGCUCACUGGUCGAGUCGGCCUGCGCGGAAGAUGUAACGGGGCUAAACCAUGCACCGAAGCUGCGGCAGCGACACUAUGUGUUGUUGGGUAGGGGAGCGUUCUGUAAGCCUGUGAAGGUGUACUGUGAGGUAUGCUGGAGGUAUCAGAAGUGCGAAUGCUGACAUAAGUAACGAUAAAGCGGGUGAAAAGCCCGCUCGCCGGAAGACCAAGGGUUCCUGUCCAACGUUAAUCGGGGCAGGGUGAGUCGACCCCUAAGGCGAGGCCGAAAGGCGUAGUCGAUGGGAAACAGGUUAAUAUUCCUGUACUUGGUGUUACUGCGAAGGGGGGACGGAGAAGGCUAUGUUGGCCGGGCGACGGUUGUCCCGGUUUAAGCGUGUAGGCUGGUUUUCCAGGCAAAUCCGGAAAAUCAAGGCUGAGGCGUGAUGACGAGGCACUACGGUGCUGAAGCAACAAAUGCCCUGCUUCCAGGAAAAGCCUCUAAGCAUCAGGUAACAUCAAAUCGUACCCCAAACCGACACAGGUGGUCAGGUAGAGAAUACCAAGGCGCUUGAGAGAACUCGGGUGAAGGAACUAGGCAAAAUGGUGCCGUAACUUCGGGAGAAGGCACGCUGAUAUGUAGGUGAAGCGACUUGCUCGUGGAGCUGAAAUCAGUCGAAGAUACCAGCUGGCUGCAACUGUUUAUUAAAAACACAGCACUGUGCAAACACGAAAGUGGACGUAUACGGUGUGACGCCUGCCCGGUGCCGGAAGGUUAAUUGAUGGGGUUAGCGGUAACGCGAAGCUCUUGAUCGAAGCCCCGGUAAACGGCGGCCGUAACUAUAACGGUCCUAAGGUAGCGAAAUUCCUUGUCGGGUAAGUUCCGACCUGCACGAAUGGCGUAAUGAUGGCCAGGCUGUCUCCACCCGAGACUCAGUGAAAUUGAACUCGCUGUGAAGAUGCAGUGUACCCGCGGCAAGACGGAAAGACCCCGUGAACCUUUACUAUAGCUUGACACUGAACAUUGAGCCUUGAUGUGUAGGAUAGGUGGGAGGCUUUGAAGUGUGGACGCCAGUCUGCAUGGAGCCGGCCUUGAAAUACCACCCUUUAAUGUUUGAUGUUCUAACGUUGGCCCCUGAUCGGGGUUGCGGACAGUGUCUGGUGGGUAGUUUGACUGGGGCGGUCUCCUCCUAAAGAGUAACGGAGGAGCACGAAGGUUGGCUAAUCCUGGUCGGACAUCAGGAGGUUAGUGCAAUGGCAUAAGCCAGCUUGACUGCGAGCGUGACGGCGCGAGCAGGUGCGAAAGCAGGUCAUAGUGAUCCGGUGGUUCUGAAUGGAAGGGCCAUCGCUCAACGGAUAAAAGGUACUCCGGGGAUAACAGGCUGAUACCGCCCAAGAGUUCAUAUCGACGGCGGUGUUUGGCACCUCGAUGUCGGCUCAUCACAUCCUGGGGCUGAAGUAGGUCCCAAGGGUAUGGCUGUUCGCCAUUUAAAGUGGUACGCGAGCUGGGUUUAGAACGUCGUGAGACAGUUCGGUCCCUAUCUGCCGUGGGCGCUGGAGAACUGAGGGGGGCUGCUCCUAGUACGAGAGGACCGGAGUGGACGCAUCACUGGUGUUCGGGUUGUCAUGCCAAUGGCACUGCCCGGUAGCUAAAUGCGGAAGAGAUAAGUGCUGAAAGCAUCUAAGCACGAAGCUUGCCCCGAGAUGAGUUCUCCCUGAGACUUAGAGUCUCCUGAAGGAACGUUGAAGACGAUGACGUUGAUAGGCCGGGUGUGUAAGCGCAGCGAUGCGUUGAGCUAACCGGUACUAAUGAACCGUGAGGCUUAACCUU